AAUACGAACAUGGCUUAGUAUUCACAGUCACUUUGAUGGAGUCAGAGUGCGUUCGUGAAGCAUGGUUGAGUGGGAAAACGCUGUGUUACUAAAUGGANUACUAGGCUAUGGUCUUAUGAAAACAAACCAACUUAGGAACAGGAGAGCCGAGGCAACACCGCGACGAAGCUCCGAUGUAACACCGAGUCAACUCCGAUGUAGGGCCGACGCAGCUCCGAUGUUACAACGAAGCAGCUAUUGGGCACGUCACAGUUUACGAGACGAAUCUAACGAUUAAAAUAGAGAGAAAACACUUUGACAAUUGUGUUAAGCUAUGGUAAUUCCUUUGUUUUCUACAGUCUAAUCUUCACUAUAUUGCGCUGUUUAGCAUUAUUUGGUUAGUUCUUUUUCACGCUUUUAGUGUUUUUUAUCAACUUUACACUUAGUACACUUUGUUUUUCACGGUUUCAUGAAGACAUUCACUGUUUCACGCCCCACCUCUGACAUCAUAGUCUAUGUUUUCCUUUAGUUGCAUUUAAAGUUUAAUACGAAAACAUUCUGUCAUCCCUCUCGCCCUAAACUAGACAGGUAUCUAUAAAACCUAUUGAAGCUAGUGUUUAACGACGAAAGAUUACUCUAUUAUGCUUNAUUUGUGUGAUUUACACCCUAAUAAAGCACUGGCAACCACUUAAAGGCAAUCACAUAUAUCUCUACUANGCGUAAACUCAGCGCUAAAACUCAGUCAAAACCCNUGCCUNUUAUGGCAUAUUGCGGUAUAAAAGUUUUAGUAUUUUGAAUAAAAAUGGGGCAUAAAUAGAAACGAAGGAACUUGAAUAAAAAAUUUUAUU
rnacentral:lncRNA from 1 species